rnacentral:siRNA from 1 species
CGACGUGGGUGGUUCGCCG